rnacentral:tRNA from 1 species
GCUUCCAUAGCUCAGCUGGAUAGAGCAACGCCCUUCUAAGGCGGAGGUCGGAGGUUCGAAUCCUCCUGGGAGCACCA